rnacentral:rRNA from 1 species
AACGAACGCUGGCGGCAGGCCUAACACAUGCAAGUCGAGCGAGGACUACGGUCCUAGCGGCGGACGGGUGAGUAACGCGUGGGAACGUGCCCUUUGCUUCGGAAUAGCCCUGGGAAACUGGGAGUAAUACCGGAUGAGCCCUUUGGGGGAAAGAUUUAUCGGCGAAGGAUCGGCCCGCGUUGGAUUAGGUAGUUGGUGGGGUAAUGGCCUACCAAGCCGACGAUCCAUAGCUGGUUUGAGAGGAUGAUCAGCCACACUGGGACUGAGACACGGCCCAGACUCCUACGGGAGGCAGCAGUGGGGAAUCUUAGACAAUGGGGGAAACCCUGAUCUAGCCAUGCCGCGUGAGCGAUGAAGGCCUUAGGGUUGUAAAGCUCUUUCAGCUGGGAAGAUAAUGACGGUACCAGCAGAAGAAGCCCCGGCUAACUCCGUG